ensembl:miRNA
AAAAAGUUCAUUCCAGUUUUUCAAGACAUAUCAUAUAGAUGGGAAAACCUGAAUGAACUCUUUGGU